GUCGAGCGGUAGCACAGGGGAGCUUGCUCCCUGGGUGACGAGCGGCGGACGGGUGAGUAAUGUCUGGGAAACUGCCUGAUGGAGGGGGAUAACUACUGGAAACGGUAGCUAAUACCGCAUAACGUCGCAAGACCAAAGAGGGGGACCUUCGGGCCUCUUGCCAUCAGAUGUGCCCAGAUGGGAUUAGCUAGUAGGUGGGGUAAUGGCUCACCUAGGCGACGAUCCCUAGCUGGUCUGAGAGGAUGACCAGCCACACUGGAACUGAGACACGGUCCAGACUCCUACGGGAGGCAGCAGUGGGGAAUAUUGCACAAUGGGCGCAAGCCUGAUGCAGCCAUGCCGCGUGUGUGAAGAAGGCCUUCGGGUUGUAAAGCACUUUCAGCGAGGAGGAAGGUGGUGAGCUUAAUACGCUCAUCAAUUGACGUUACUCGCAGAAGAAGCACCGGCUAACUCCGUGCCAGCAGCCGCGGUAAUACGGA
rnacentral:rRNA from 1 species